AAUAUCAGUCCUUAAUGCCUAAUGAUGUGGUUCAUAGUAUUGCUAAGCCAGGUAAGCAGCCACUUGGUAGUCCAGUCAUAUAAGAAGCUCUGAAUUAUUUCAGUGGCAAAUCAAGUUAACAUACUAUGUAGUACUUCCUUAGUCCUGGACACCGUGUUCUGUUGUAAUAAAAUCACACACCAUGAUCUCCCAGGAUUGCAGUAGAUCUGGAACAUGUCGUACCAGGAUCAUUCAUCCAUUGGGCUUAUGUUUCAGUAUAUCAUGCAGCUUUGUAAAAAAAGGUGGACAUUUGGCUUUUUUGGAAGACGAAGAGAAGUCCUCUCCUGCUGUCCAACUUGAGGUUGCAAUCCAUCCUAAAUAAUGCGGAUGCACUGGCUUUUCACUGCUGUCAUUUUAGGGAUUAUCUUGCUCUCUGAAGGAGGCAUUUACCCAGGUACCAAAAAGCAGUGUUUGAAAAGAGGUUUCCAAUGUCGAAGGAGAUGUGAUGACGGCAUGAUCAAUUUUGGAGAGUGUACAAUCAUUGAACCUUGCUGCAAGCCAAUAUGGUAAAUUUUCUCCUUUUCUGUCCAUGAUUGCUGAUAAAAUGCCAUUCAAAACAUUUCUGGGAUAAUUCCUCCCCCCCCCUGUCUUGCAAGCUGAGGCAGCUUCCCAGUGUGGUGAGGUGGCUAGAGAGAUGGACUGAGACUCUGGAGAAGAGGGUUCGAAUUCCCACUCAGUCAUGGAAACCCACUGAGGGAGUGGAACUGGUAAAACCACUCCACUAUGCAAGCAGAGACAAAUUCGCUUAAAGUGAUAUUUUAGCCUUAUCCAGGAGAGAUGUGGAAUCACUGACAUCCUGCUUUUCAAGUUUUAAUGUGCUAUCAAAGAAGCAUUUCAAAGGUCAUUUCAAUACCUUCUGCUCUAUUUUAACACUAAGAAGGCAAACUGUUUUAAAAAGCAAAGUGUGCUGCUUAUAUCCGUAUAACACUUUUAGCCUUUUGUUUCUGUUCAUGGGGCAUUCUUGGCAAAGAUACUGGAGUGGCAUUGCCAACUCCUGCUCCAGGUGGAUU
rnacentral:lncRNA from 1 species